rnacentral:rRNA from 1 species
UACGUAGGGGGCAAGCGUUGUCCGGAUUCAUUGGGCGUAAAGGGCGCGUAGGCGGCUUGCCAAGUCAGGGGUGAAAUCUUUCGGCUCAACCGGAAAAGUGCCUUUGAUACUGGCAGGCUAGAGGGAGAUAGGGGUGCGUGGAACUUCUGGUGGGGCGGUGAAAUGCGUAGAUAUCAGAAGGAACGCCGGUGGCGAAAGCGACGCACUGGACCUCUACUGACGCUGAGGCGCGAAAGCCAGGGGAGCGAACGGG